AAAAAAAGUGUUAUGGGAUGAGGACUUGAAGGAGCGAGAACUGGCUGGAAGUAUUUGGUGUGUUCAUAACUUUCAUUCAAGAUAUAUAAAACAAUAUGUAUGAAGGGAACGGAAUUAAGGGAACUUGUGAGUACUGGGUACAUUCAUUUAUGCGUCUGCGUUCGCCGUCGGUAGCCGCCGCCAAUGGACGCUUACUUAAGCUAAAAGCUUUUGUGUAUAAAUUUUAAUUAAAAUGCAACAAUUAAA